ACAAACACAUAUUGCUUAGAGGUGUCAAGUGAACGGGUUGAGUUGGAAUUGAUAAUGUUAAAAUGGGCUGAAGUAGAAAUUAGGUUGGGUCCUAACUUAGCCAAGUUUUCUUUCACUCAAAUGGACUUUAAAAUGGGCUAGGUCUUGACCCGCUCAAUUUGACAUGUUUAAUUUCAAUAAAUUUAAUAUAUAGUUAUUUAAGUUUUAAAUUUCAACUCAAGAUUUUCUUUAAAAAAAAAGAAGAAGUUACAAAUGAUAGAUAAAUCCUAGGAGAUAUAAAAUAGAUAGCAAUUUAUAUCUUCAAUAUUAGCACAUACAUUAAAAAAUCUUAAAACGAGUUAAAAUUUAAAAUUAAAUUAGGUUUAAUUGAACAUUCUCUUAAAAUUAGUUAAGUCUUGAAUGAGUUAAACUUAUACCAAAUUCAAAUUAUCUUGAAUUUAAUUUUUAAAAUUCUAAACGUAUUUGACAGAUUACUCGUAAUUGGUCUCAUUUUUGACAUCCCAACAAAACAAAUACUACUACAGAGCGAUAUCAAUGUCACGACCCAAAACGAGUCGUGAGUGACAACCAACACAUCUAAAACCCCAACAUAUACCAAUAGUUCAACUAUAAAUAAUAUCAAUAAUGCGGAAGCUCCAAAAGAUACUAAGCAACCAAUUUAAAUAAGUUUCUAAGGUUUAAUACUUAUCAUCCCAAAAUCUGAUAGUCAUCACAUCAAGGACAUCUAAUCUCCAAUACUAAGCCUAAGAAUAUCGAAUACACUAAAAUAAAGAAUAAAAUGGUAUGUGUCCGAAAGCAUAGGACAUCAUGUUAUGACCGAGAGAAUCCAACACGAGCUAGAAAUAAUAGCUCACCCUGAACUCUGAUGUGCUGGAGACUGGCUAGAGCUGAGGGCGAGUCGAAGUCGAUGGUACACUUGCUGCACUCCACAAAAUAACAAAGAAGAAAAUACAAGUAGAGGUCAGUACAAUGAACACGUACUGAGUAGGUAUCAUCGGCCAACUCAAAAUAGAAAUCAAUAUAUAUUGAAUAAUAAUAUAAAAUCAACUACAAUACUUAACAGGUGGCAAGCAACAAACACAUGAACCAUUGACAACAACACCAUAACAGGUACACCAUCAAUCAGCAAAUCAAACACACCUAUGAGGACUCAUGCCUCCACACCAUACUCAUUUGAAAGAUAGGUUCUUUGAGGUUGAGUAUAUUAAGUCACUUCAAGAUUCCCUUCCUUUAAUGUUAUUAUGUCGGAACGUGACACUCCGAUCCCAUAUACCGUGUCGAAACGUGACACUCCGAUCCCUUAAUAUCGUGUCGGAACGUGACACUCCGAUCCAAUUAUCUUAUAAUUUUAUUUCAUCAAGCCUUCUUUAUUCAAGGCGUACUUUUAAUAGAGAGGGUUCAAGAUUAGAAAUUCAACAGUCUCAUAAUUUUAGGCCAACCACAAACCACACAAUCAAAACAUACAGCCACACAAUCAAGUAAAUAGGAGACUUUACAAUAUCACUCAAUACAUAUCAAUCGCUAUUUAGAGUUUAUCUAUCAAAUAAAAUUAAACCAUAACCUACCUCCACCGAAGAACCGAAGUCAAGCAACUACUUCUCCAAUGCCUUUCCUUUUCUUAUUGCCUCCGAACCCUUCCAAUCUAUCAAGUAUAUAAUAUACAUAAGGUGUAAGUUAACAAGACCAUAAACACUCCGAUUAUUCUGUGUCUAGCCUAUACUCAUCAAUUCACCUAAUUCUAUAAUCAAUUUCCUAAAUUUUAAACUUAAGGUAAGUUCUAUUUCCUCUCAUUAGCAUAACUUUAAUGUAAUUCAUAUAAUAUACUACACCUUAUAUUUAAUUACCUAUCUCAAUAUAUCAAAAUAUAAUCUAUAAUAUAAUAACAACAUUAAAAUUUUUAAAAGUUAAAGCCACUGGUUAAGGUACCAGUGGCAGCGAACACUUCACAAUAUACCCACCCCUUUAUAUUCCAAUUCUUAAAAAUGAAAUUCAGUUAUUUUCUUGCAGCUUCAUCGAUCCAGCUUCUAACACAAGGCGAACCUACCUUGGAUUAUUUUCCAUUAACUUCACGUGAGAACAGGGAGGAAAUAUGUACCUACGAAUUCGCAUGAAAAUUGUAUCAAUUUUUUCUUUGUUCUAAAAUUUAAAUUGGCAGAACAUUUAAACCUUUACAUUGUCAUACCUUACACCUUCUUUUAAUUAAUCAUCACAAUAUAACAAUUUUUCCAAUCCCAACAUGCUGCUCCCUCUUCUCUAUUUUAUUAUUUUAUUUUACAAAACAAACAUUUCCAUCCAAUUUUAUAAUAUUAAUCAAAAGAGACCAAUAAUUAAUCUACAGAAAUCUAACUCCUUAGAUUCAAAACAGAACUCCCGUUCUUCCCUUUCUAAUUAACAAUAUAUUAGGCUGCUAGUAAUAUUACUCUCUAUUAGAAAUCACCAUUACAUGUAACAAAAGAAUAAAAAUUUCAAGAACCUUAAUUCAUAACACACUAAAGUCAAUUUUCUUUUAUGUAACAUGUAACUGCUGCUAAAAUGUUGCAGGCAGCAACAUCAUACAGCCGCCACGUAGUCACAAUUUGCCCAUAUCCCCCUUUUCCCAUUUAAUUAGUAUAAUAUUCUAUCAUGGCUAAAAUAUCAACAUAUAUCCCUAUCAUCAAUACAUAUGUAUAGCGCAAUAUUAAGCUGGUCGAGUUUUACCUGAAGGCCCACUUUACGAUCUUCUUCGCAAUCCUUCUGCCCCUCUCUGAUUUUCUUACUUUCCUCCAGAGAUAAAUUAUACCUAAUUUCUAUAUAGGACUAAUUAUAUAAAUAAUGAAAAGUGUCCAUCACUAAUUGUUAAGUUAUUUUCUUUAACUAUCAAUUAAAUAAAUUAUUAAAAUUAUCC
rnacentral:lncRNA from 1 species